rnacentral:tRNA from 1 species
GGAUCGGUGGUGUAGUGGUAUCAUUCUCGCUUUGGGUGCGAGAGGUCCCGGGUUCAAACCCCGGUUGGUCCC